rnacentral:rRNA from 1 species
AAAAAAGGUAAGCUACUAAGAGCGAAUGGUGGAUGCCUUGACUGGUAAAGGCGAUGAAGGACGUACUAGACUGCGAUAAGCUACGGGGAGCUGUCAAGAAGCUUUGAUCCGUAGAUUUCCGAAUGGGGCAACCCAAUGUAUAGAGAUAUGCAUUACCUAUAUAGGAGCGAACGAGGGGAAUUGAAACAUCUUAGUACCCUCAGGAAAAGAAAUCAAUAGAGAUUGCGUCAGUAGCGGCGAGCGAAAGCGCAAGAGGGCAAACCC